GGACGUUUAAACAAAUAUAAUACAGCAUGGCUCUUUCUCAUUGCUUCAAUACAAAAAAUUAUAUCAUAUUGCCUGCAAUAAAUCUAUCACGAAAUAUAUUGCCACUGUCCUUAAUACCCUGAAAUCUAACAUAAUGAGAUAAAACAAAGAUCUACAUUGAAGAAUUUUGAAUACAGACAAUAAACACACUCUAGAUUUCUACAUAACAAAAUUAAUAUAAAAAAA